rnacentral:tRNA from 1 species
AAAACCUUUUAUUAGAA